rnacentral:rRNA from 1 species
AUGAUACGCGAGGAACCGUUACCUGGGCUCGAACGUAAGAUGACUGUAGGUGAAAGCUUACAUCUCUUCGGAGCAUUUUACGAGGUGCUGCAUGGUUGUCGUCAGCUCGUGCCGUGAGGUGUCGGGUUAAGUCCCAUAACGAGCGCAACCCCUACCUUUAGUUGCCAUCAGGUAAUGCUGGGGACUCUAAAGGAACUGCCUACGCAAGUAGUGAGGAAGGCGGGGAUGACGUCAAAUCAGCACGGCCCUUACGUCCAGGGCUACACACGUGCUACAAUGGCCGAUACAGAGGGCAGCUACCUGGUGACAGGAUGCAAAUCUCCAAAGUCGGUCUCAGUUCGGAUCGGAGUCUGCAACCCGACUCCGUGAAGUUGGAUUCGCUAGUAAUCGCGCAUCAGCCAUGGCGCGGUGAAUACGUUCCCGGGCCUU